rnacentral:rRNA from 1 species
AUUGAACGCUGGCGGCAUGCUUUACACAUGCAAGUCGGACGGCAGCACAGAGAAGCUUGCUUCUUGGGUGGCGAGUGGCGAACGGGUGAGUAACAUAUCGGAACGUACCGAGUAAUGGGGGAUAACUAAUCGAAAGAUUAGCUAAUACCGCAUAUUCUCUGAGGAGGAAAGCAGGGGACCUUUUGGCCUUGCGUUAUUCGAGCGGCCGAUAUCUGAUUAGCUAGUUGGUGGGGUAAAGGCCUACCAAGGCGACGAUCAGUAGCGGGUCUGAGAGGAUGAUCCGCCACACUGGGACUGAGACACGGCCCAGACUCCUACGGGAGGCAGCAGUGGGGAAUUUUGGACAAUGGGCGCAAGCCUGAUCCAGCCAUGCCGCGUGUCUGAAGAAGGCCUUCGGGUUGUAAAGGACUUUUGUCAGGGAAGAAAAGGCUGUUGCUAAUAUCGACAGCUGAUGACGGUACCUGAAGAAUAAGCACCGGCUAACUACGUGCCAGCAGCCGCGGUAAUACGUAGGGUGCGAGCGUUAAUCGGAAUUACUGGGCGUAAAGCGAGCGCAGACGGUUACUUAAGCAGGAUGUGAAAUCCCCGGGCUCAACCUGGGAACUGCGUUCUGAACUGGGUGACUAGAGUGUGUCAGAGGGAGGUAGAAUUCCACGUGUAGCAGUGAAAUGCGUAGAGAUGUGGAGGAAUACCGAUGGCGAAGGCAGCCUCCUGGGAUAACACUGACGUUCAUGCUCGAAAGCGUGGGUAGCAAACAGG